UCGAAUGUUAUAUAUUACUAGGAGCGUGGCCCCGCGCAAGCGCGGGAUAGUUGGUCUUAAACUUGUAUUUUGUGUUAGAAGAUAUGGUUGUUGAAAAAAAACAAAGUUUCUAUAAGAAAAGAAUAAGGAAUUGAGGAGAUGGUCGUUCAAAAAAAGUAUACGUAAGAGAUGAUAAGUGAAGUUAGAAACAUUAGUUAGGAGAUGGUAUAUUAUUCAUAGUGGAUGUCUAUUGUAUGAGUAGGCUUUUUGGAAGCUUUAAUUUGUUUGUUUUUUUUAGCCAGAGGUUUAAGAGGCGAUAACGCAUACUUUGAAAAAAAAACUGUUUGAGAAAAAAGAAACUUGAGAAGAAGCUGAUCGGAGCAUAAGUGGUCGUUUUUGGAACCCAUAAACAAACCAGAUGCUAUUUCUCUUAGUUUGAAGCGAGGGUGAGAGAUUGCUUUUUCCCUACUGCAAGUCCUGUAAAAAUGCAUUUGGGGCAUCCAUUAAUCUGUUAUUGGAUAAAAAACUCAUGAUUUAGUUUGAUGAUACGAUCCAUUAAACUGGACCUUAAAAUUUUGAGUACAACUAACUAUUGUAUUUACACAAUUUAAAUUAAACAAAUUAUCUCCAAUUUGUCCAAUUAGACGUAUUCUCUAAAAUAACCUGACAUGAGUCUGUAAACAUUUUCUACGUUGAAACAAUGUCGACAAUAGCAUCGUGUUGCUAUGUGAACAUGUAUUGAUACACUAAGUUAGAACAUGCUUAUUUUUCAGACGUUCUAUUUAUUUAAAAUCCAAGUAACUCUUUUCCCGGUGGGAGAUGGUUUGAAGAUAUUUCAAGACACAACCAAAGAUCAAAGUAGGGAAUACAUAAGAAAAUAUUUAUUUCAAAUGACACGAUAGCUAUAAGUGGAGAUGACAAUUCGGUCUUGAAACUAUCACUCAGGGGGCGUUUGGACUAUUUGGCUCGUCUUCAAAGCUGGGCAGUUUUGCUUCAUCAACUCCCAUUGCUCUUUUCGCCGCAUCAACCGUGUUGCUGGCAGAUGAUGUUGCUUGUCCAGCUUGGACAUCCACGACUGGAGCUUGGCUGCUGCUGCUACUCUGAGACACAAUUGUACAUGUAUGUUAUUUAAGAUCUGAACGGAAAAAAUUAUUAAGAACUUAGAUUACCCACCUCUGGCUGAGUGCCAAAGAAGAUAUCUCAGUGACUGCAGAGAUGGUGAAAAACGAUUCCUUGCCACUUAGCAGUUCAAUGCAGUUUGGUAGCUCCGGUCCUUCAUCACCUCUCAUCUGUAACAAUUUUAUAUGAUUGUUACAAUUAUAUAUAUGAUUCGAGGGUCAGAGAAAUCGUAACAAUUUUAAUAAUUUUAAUGUAAUGUGUUAGAGCAAAAACAAGCCUCCGCAAGAGCCAGAAUGUUUGCAUCUUUCUUGCUGAUCUCCCUGUCAAAGACCACAAAACGUGGCACUUCGUUGUCGUCGUCAACAGCCAGUUCAACGGAACCUGGAAAGAGAGUAGGUUAGCUGUGAACGUGUAUUUAAAUUAUGGUGUUCUUUUAGAUAUGAGACAUGAUUACCAUUAAUACCUGACUACUGACGUUCGGAGGAACGCAUCUGUUGUACCGGAGUGAAGUGUCGGAUUGGAGAAACACAAAUUUACAAAGUUUCCAAAGAGAAGAUUCUGUUUCUCAAUUUAUACGCCCAGCCCGUAAAAAAAACUUCAAUCAUGUAAACAAUCAAAACAUAAAACAUGAAGAUCAACAAUGUUCACAACUAAGCCAAAACUCAAGAAGCACAUGUUUUUUUACCUUUAGCGCUCCUUGCACUGAUUGAGCAACUUUUUCCACGACCGUUUCGUGGUAUUGGGUUCCCCUUUGAGAUGGUAGAUAAGAAAGCAAAAGCCAAGUCAUCCCUUGGUCCAUAAUUUUGUUCUUAUAUUAUGGGUUUGACAGUUGUCACUGAACUGCUAAUCAUGGUGAGCGUUUGGAGUCUCAGCAAUAUAACUUUAUAUAGCGAGGAUGGUCAUAUCGGUUCGGAAACGUGUUACAUAAUCAUUAUUGAUGGUCUGAGUAAAUAGGGGGAGAUGUAGAGAUUGGGGAAGAUAAAGAGUUCGUGUAAGGAGUUCAUGGUUUUGAAGGAAAUUGGAGGAGUAAAAGAACCCUAGAUCUCACUAAAGAGAAUAUCAGACGACAUCAAAACUUAUUUGGGCCACUACGGGGAUUUGUUUCAUGGGCUUGGCUUCAGCCUUAAAUCUAAAGAUAUAGGCGAAAGACUUAACGAAUAUAUCCACAUAUCAGUUAACAGAUUUAUUUAAGUUCGACUUUAUCUUUCUGGUGAAACCCACACUAUUUAAAAUAUAGACACGUGGAUAACUUUAGGAGAAGCAAAAGUGCCUCAUUAUAUAUGAACUGUAUCAAGAGCUUUGGAUUGGGCUGCGCGAUAGGUUUAAUGGGCUGCGACCAACACGGUUUCAAGUGAGGUUCGGGAUUGGGCUGCAAAAUGAGUCAAAUGGGCUGCGAAGGUGACUAUUUUUUUUUAAUUUCAAGCCCAAUCUGCCAGUGACAUGGCAGAAUGAUUGGUUGGGAAUAUUUUGCCUAGGUGGCACCCCUAAGAAGCCUCAAAAUUAAGCCCUUUUAUAUAGUGGGAUAAUAAAUAUUACUUAAAUACAAUAUAUUAUCUCUUAAUAUUUACUUACUGUAAAAAGAAGAGACGACUCUGCAUAUAUAUUUAUCAUUCUGUAUUGGUUACAACUAAACUAACAAUUAAAAUUACGAUAAAAAACAAAAUUAAAAAUUAAAAGUGUCUCAAUAUAAGUUACUCUAAAAGGAAGUUUAAAAUAUUCCACCCAUAAUACGGAAACAUAUAUACCUAAUUGUAUAAAUUAAGUUAACGAUCAAAUAGAUAUAACGUGACUCAUGAACCUAAUCUUUGAAAAGGUUUGUUUCCUAAAAGUAAAAGAAGAACAGCUAACCUAGUCAAGUUUGAAGUUAUUUCAUAUCUAUCUCCUUUUCUCCUGUGAUGUGGACUCUACACGAUUGAAUAGAACUUAUCGUUUGGUGGUUAUAUAAUGAUGAUUGGGAGAUUUGUUAAACACUCAUCCCGAGAUUUGUUAAACACUCAUCCCGCUAAAGAAUCUCAAGGAAAACGAAACACGAAUACUUUCUUCUUCUCAUAGAACGUGUUCUUCAAAGUUUCUCAUAUACUUGUCGAAUUGACGAAAAUAAAUUCCCCAUGUAACGAGUUCCAUCUGUUUCUCGUAGCUAUGAGUUUGAAUCAAAAUGGAUAACGAAUCGAAAGUUAAAAAAAAAUAGAAAAGGAAAGGGAAAAAAAAAGGAGAGAUCUAGAAACGGUCGUCUCUUCUUGGCCGACGAACAAUCAGAUUGAAAUUGAUGGUGCUAUUCAAAGUUAUACAACAUAUAUUUGAGAAAGACAACUUCAGAAAUAAGAAAUCGAAAGAUCCUUAUGUAAAAGGUUUAGUUUUCACAGAUGAAGAGUUUCUUAGAUCUGAAAUUAUGUCACAGAAGAAGAUCAACCGUAUCAAAUGUUGGGGACUUUAACACAUCUGAAGAAGCGAACAAAGUUAAAUCAGACAUAUAAUCUGAGUUCAGAUGUAAUGGUGGUGCUGCUCCGUGGUGAUACAAUUAGCUGAAGAAAUAAGUUUAUUAAAAGUGUAGCAUUACACUUGCGUCUUACAAAGAAAGUUGCAGUUUCUAGGUGGUUGAAUGAGUAAGGAAUAUUGAUAGUGUGAUUCGGCUUGCAGAUAGGAAGGGAUUGAACAUGAACCAAUACUACCACCCAAAAAGAUAAGUAUCUUUUUAUACUUUACCAGAAUUUAAAUAUAUAGUAACUUACUGUUAUAUUAUGUUCUUUUGACAGGAAAAUAUGCGUAUUACAUGGUACAUCCAAAUGGAAAUUAAGAAGCAAAUUGAUGACAGCGACUAUUAAGAUAACUUUCUUCAGUGCAUUUAAUCAGCAGAAUGGAGAAUAUCGGUUAAGUUUCCCCAAAUGCAGCAUGGUAUUCUUGAAUCACUAUAGGGUGGCGCCAGUCAAAAAGCGAGGCAUGGUUUGUUGUGCGAUAAGCUCCUCCUGCAGGCCUAACAUGGAAAUUUCGGAUGUAGCGCCAUGCUCCAACCGGAAGAAGGCUUCCUUUACUCUCAAUGAUUGCUUACAUUCUCAUCAACCAAGACGAAUUCCAUGGUUUCUCCCCCUAGUUGAAUGUUUUGUUUCCAAGAAUGUAGAACCUUCGCAUGAACCAUCUUAGCGGUGUGCACUGGCUUCAAGUUGUUGAUGGGGAUGGCUUGUUCAUUAGAAACAAUCGCUGUUUUGAUUUGCUUUUUAGAAGCCAUUUGUUUGUUUGACGGUAUGAGUUUGUUUAGGAAGAAGCGUCGUUAUUUAUAUAAGGAAGUGGCGAUGGGGAGAGUUGUUUAGGUUUUGAGGAAAACUUGGUGAAUACUGUAAAUAUUGGCAAGAUUUUCUAGUUAAUAGUAGUACUUAAUA